ACUCCUACGGGAGGCAGCAGUGGGGAAUAUUGCACAAUGGGCGCAAGCCUGAUGCAGCAACGCCGUGUGAGUGAAGAAGGUUUUCGGAUCGUAAAACUCUGUCCUAAGGGAAGAAACAAAUGACGGUACCUUAGGAGGAAGCCCCGGCUAACUACGUGCCAGCAGCCGCGGUAAUACGGUAGGGGGCAAGCGUUAUCCGGAAUCACUGGGCGUAAAGGGUGCGUAGGCGGCUUAGCAAGCCAGGGGUGAAAGGCAUUGGCUCAACCAAUGUAAGCCUUUGGAACUGUUAAGCUUGAGUGCAGGAGAGGUAAGUGGAAUUCCUAGUGUAGAGGUGAAAUUCGUAGAUAUUAGGAGGAACACCAGUGGCGAAGGCGACUUACUGGACUGUAACUGACGCUGAUGCACGAAAGCGUGGGUAGCGAACAGGAUUAGAUACCCUGGUAGCGACUGA
rnacentral:rRNA from 1 species